AUUGAACGCUGGCGGCAGGCCUAACACAUGCCAGUCGAGCGGAUGAAGGGAGCUUGCUCCUGGAUUCAGCGGCGGACGGGUGAGUAAUGCCUAGGAAUCUGCCUGGUAGUGGGGGAUAACGUCCGGAAACGGGCGCUAAUACCGCAUACGUCCUGAGGGAGAAAGUGGGGGAGCUUCGGACCUCACGCUAUCAGAUGAGCCUAGGUCGGAUUAGCUAGUUGGUGGGGUAAAGGCCUACCAAGGCGACGAUCCGUAACUGGUCUGAGAGGAUGAUCAGUCACACUAGAACUGAGACACGGUCCAGACUCCUACGGGAGGCAGCAGUGGGGAAUAUUGGACAAUGGGCGAAAGCCUGAUCCAGCCAUGCCGCGUGUGUGAAGAAGGUCUUCGGAUUGUAAAGCACUUUAAGUUGGGAGGAAGGGCAGUAAGUUAAUACCUUGCUGUUUUGACGUUACCAACAGAAUAAGCACCGGCUAACUUCGUG
rnacentral:rRNA from 1 species